rnacentral:lncRNA from 1 species
UGAGUUGCAAUCAUGUUAGAGCCCCAACAAUCCACUAUGGAGCUCCUUUCCAACUUGCAACUGAAGCUUAAAUUCAAGAAUUCAAAGCUUUGUAAGCUUGAGAUUGAGUUACCAUUGAGAAUAGGAGAUGGGUUUUCUCUCAAAGCACAUAAAUGGUAGUCACCUGUAGAUCUCAGAGCAAUGAGGAAGAAGAUUAGUGAUAGAAGAAGAGAGAGGAAGGUGGCGCACGAAGGAAGAGGGAAGAGAGAGAGACGAGGUAGAGAGAGAUUAAGAGAUUGUGGGUUUUUUAGAUCGGUGGGUUGGAGCUGCAACUGGGUAAUGAGGAUUAUGAGGUUUUCUAGAGAGAGAGGAGAUAGACGAUGCAGAGAGGAAACUUCAACUUUGGGUAUUAGAGAGAGAAA